rnacentral:rRNA from 1 species
GAAUCACUGGGCGUAAAGGGCGCGUAGGUGGUUUGAUAAGGGUGUGGUGAAAGUCCGGGGCUCAACCCCGGAUCUGCCGUGCCGACUGUCAAACUCGAGGGCUGUAGAGGCAGACGGAAUUCCGGGUGUAGCGGUGGAAUGCGUAGAGAUCCGGAGGAAGACCGGUGGCGAAGGCGGUCUGCUGGGCAGUUUCUGACACUGAGGCGCGACAGCGUGGGGAGCAAACAGGAUUAGAUACCCUGGUAGUCCACGCCGUAAACGAUGGGUACUAGGUGCCUGGGGGAGCGACCCUCUGGGUGCCGGCGCUAACGCAGGAAGUACCCCGCCUGGGGAGUACGACCGCAAGGUUGAAACUCAAAGGAAUUGAUCGGGGGCCCGCACAAGCGGUGGAGCAUGUGGUUUAAUUCGACGCAACGCGAAGAACCUUACUCUAGGCUUGACAUGCAGGAGCAAGCUCUCAGAAACGAGAGCCCCUCUUCGGAGAUCCUGCACAGGUGCUGCAUGGCU